rnacentral:lncRNA from 1 species
GUGGCUCCAUCAGCCCCUGUCCUGGCUCCAGUGGUGCCCUCUCCAAUGGCCCCUCCCACGGCAUCUCCAGAGCCAUCCUUGGUAACUCCGACACCUGCUCCCUCAACUACCCCUGUGGUGUCACCUGCUGCUUCUCCACCUGCUCCUCCCACAAACGGACCUUCUGCGGACGAGACACCUGCUGUUGCGGAGCCAUUCACGUCUCCAAUCAACGCCAAUUCCGCCGUCUCUGUCAACAUUGAUUUUGUCGCAGCGCUGGCUUCUCUCUUCGUGGCUGCCCUCUUAUCGUAGAUCUCGCAGGAA